GUUGUUUGAUUUAAUAAUCUUUUCGCAACAAGUUACGAAAGGUAGGACUUUCCGUUGUUUUAUUGCGAAAAAUGUUGUAUAAAACUUGAUGAUAAAUGCUUUUCUAGGCACACGAUGUGUAUUGUCACACUUGGCCUACGGCCUCCAGUGACAAUCUACACAAUCUAGUGCCUAAAAACGCA